rnacentral:rRNA from 1 species
AACGAACGCUGGCGGCAGGCCUAACACAUGCAAGUCGAGCGCGCCCUUCGGGGUGAGCGGCGGACGGGUGAGUAACGCGUGGGAACGUACCCUUUGCUACGGAAUGGUCUCGGGAAACUGGGGGUAAUACCGUAUGAGCCCUUCGGGGGAAAGAUUUAUCGGCAAAGGAUCGGCCCGCGUUGGAUUAGGUAGUUGGUGGGGUAAUGGCCCACCAAGCCGACGAUCCAUAGCUGGUUUGAGAGGAUGAUCAGCCACACUGGGACUGAGACACGGCCCAGACUCCUACGGGAGGCAGCAGUGGGGAAUCUUAGACAAUGGGCGCAAGCCUGAUCUAGCCAUGCCGCGUGAGCGAUGAAGGCCUUAGGGUUGUAAAGCUCUUUCGUGGGGGAAGAUAAUGACUGUACCCCAAGAAGAAGCCCCGGCUAACUCCGUGCCAGCAGCCGACGGUAAAAUAGCGUACU